CCUAGCCAGCCAAACAGAGCAGACGAACGAUGAGACCGAACUAAUCUAUUAACGUUGGAACUAACCGAACGAAGCCGGUGAAACAGCACAGUACCGAGUUCUCUCGUGGUUGAUUCUUGAAAAUUAUAGCUUUGCGUCGUCUCAUACCCACCAUAAGUAGCCCUUGCGCCGGCCUAACUGCGCUGUGCGGUGUUCUGAAGUAUCGUUUGCUAGAAAACCCGACUUGUUCAACUGCUUGCAGAUGAUCGCUCGUCGUGCCGAGACGCAAUAGCAGACAUGCACACAGACCUGUCCUCUCACCUGCAUUCCGAGGAAUGUAACAAACUUAUAGCGUUAAUGAUGCAGUGUUACAAAGAGAACAAAUGGGCCAAGUUCUUCGGGGCCUGCAAUGAUAUUGACGUAGAAAUGACGCACUGUCUAAAGAAAGAGCGGCUGGAAAAACGUGCGAAGAACUACGAGAAAUCUAACGCGAAACGGCUUCGCGAUCAACAGUCAUGAAACAGCCAUGUGAUAGUGCACUCAAGCGAAAAAAAAAGAAGAUUAAAAGAAAACCUAGGAACUCUGUUUGCUUCUUUUGUGACUGCGUCUUUUUUUUUAUUUGGUGAUUUGGUAUUACGUAAACGUAAUGCUAAAACAAUGAAGUGGGGGUGGGGAGGGGGAGCUGGAGAACUUAUACACUAAUCAUCCACUGAGUGAAUGUAUAGGAAUGCAAAUAAAAACAAAAUAAUCCACCGUCAA
rnacentral:lncRNA from 1 species